UGGCGGACGGGUGAGUGACACGUAAGAAUUUACCUUUAGGAGGGGGAUAACAUCGUUAACUGGAAACAGUUUUCUACCGAAAGGGUUGCUAAUACCCCAUAUGCUUUCGAGUGAAAUGGAUUUUUCCGCCUAAAGAGAAGCUUGCGGCUGAUUAGCUUGUUGGUGAGGUAAUGGCUUACCAAGGCGACAAUCAGUAUCUGGUUUGAGAGGAUGAUCACACACACUGGAACUGAAACACGGUCCAAACUCCUACGGGAGGCAGCAGUGGGGAAUUUUCCGCAAGGGGCGAAAGCCUGACGGAGCAAUCUCGCGUGAGGGAUGACUGCCUAUGGGUUGUAAACCUCUUUUUUCAGGGAGGAAUAAAUGACGUGUACCUGAAGAAUAAGCAUCGGCUAACUCCGUGCCAGCACCCGCGGUAAUACGGAGGAUGCAAGUGUUAUCCGGAAUCACUGGGCGUAAAGCGUCUGUAGUGGUUUAAUAAGUCAACUGUUAAAUCCUGAAGCUCAACUUCAAAAUCGCAGUCAAACUAUUAACUAAGUAUAUAGGGUAAAGGGAAUUUCCAGUGGAGCGGUGAAAUGCUAGAGAUUGGAAAGAACACCGAUGGCGAAGCACUUUACUGGCUAUUACUGACACUCA
rnacentral:rRNA from 1 species